CGAGGGGGAAACCUGGACGCAGCGACGCCACGUGGGGGAUGAAGGCCUUCGGGUCGUAAACCUCUGUUCAGAAGGGAAGAAACGCGCCAUUUCAAAUAGGCUUGGCGUUUGACGGUACCUUCAGAGGAAGCACCGGCUAACUCCGUGCCAGCAGCCGCGGUAAUACGA
rnacentral:rRNA from 1 species